rnacentral:antisense_RNA from 16 species
GAAAUUGUCGUCCUCGGCGGACAGCAGGGCAUGGAUGAAGUCCUGCGGGAUGUCGGCGAAGCGGAUCGGCGUCCGGCGCAUCUCGCCGAACUCGGAGAUCAGCUUGCCGUCCUCGCUGUAGACCUUGAGGGGGAUCUGCAGCUGGACGUUACGCAGAGCUUCCACCGAGGGCAGGCUGGGACUCAGAUAGAGAUAGGCGCCGCUGAAACUGAGCAGCACUCCACAAAUCAGGGUGACGCAAGUCCACCACAGGAACUUCAGCAGGCGCAUGGGUAGAUUCGGAUUUCCAGGAAA